GUUUGACCUUACUGGGAAAGAAUACUUCUACAUAAAAGAAUCUAUUUUAUUCUUGCUAAGAGGACAGUGUGAAAAGUUAAUUAAUUUGUCUUUUGUUUUUAAACUGUUACUACUGUUUAAAUCUUCCUGCAUUCUGAAGCUGUUUGUUUCUCUGAUGUCAGCAGCAGUACAAACCACAAACCUUCAAGUUUAUGGACACAGUGACUUUUUGUUUUAAGGACAUAGGGGAAGAGAGGUGGAGAAGAAUUUCCCUAUGACCAGAAUGAUCCUGAAGGGUGACUGAUAAAAUGAAUGGGUCUGGAGACCAAGCAAACAUGUGACAUUUGCAAAAAUGUAUAGUGUACAAGGCUACAAAACAAGGCUUAAUAAAUUCCUAAGAAUGGAUGCUAUACAGCUUGUUCUCCGAAAAGAGUGCAGCAAAAUUAGAAACCAACGUUAAAAGGAGAUUAGAAACCCUCAUAUGUUUUGAAAUUUUAAAAAACACUACAAAAACAUUCAUGGGUACAAUAUGGCAAGAGAAAAAAUAAAAGGUAUAGC
rnacentral:lncRNA from 1 species